UGAUCCGCGAGACGUGCAGCCGCACCGGGACGCUCCGGUCUUUGAAGGCGGUGGUGAUGAAGCAGCCGAAGUGGUUAAUACUUCCUACACAAUGAUCAAUAGAAAUGAAGACAACUGGUACACUUGUCUUGCUCCUGGUGUUAGGAGGAAAGUUCUUUUCAUUUCUCCAUCAGGAUAAAGAAGAGGCAAACCUUUAGUUAAACCACAGACUGAAUUUCUUCACUUUCUGUCUUCGUCGAGCCUUUGGAUAUAGACGUGUGGUUGACGGAAAGGAACACACUUGACACUUACCACUUCCCUUGGAUCAGCAUCUGAGAGUCAACUUACAAUUCUUCUAUCAAUCCUAGAAUCAAUAUUUUAAGACAUGAUGGCUGAAGCUCUGCAACCACAUAUCGAAGAUGGCCAAGCAACAUGGAUCCUAAGUGCCUGACACCUGCAGCACCAUACCAGCCCUUGACCAUCUCCCUCCUACUUCUUUUAAAUGAGAGAACUAAAUUUCUAUUUUGUUCAACCCACUAGGUUGGAGGUGUUGUCUGCCACAUGCAACUCCUAAUAAUACACUCUCUUAAGUCAUUGUCCAGUCAGAGGAAUACCAUACGAUUGACUUGUUCUAGUCAAUGUUCUCUCCUGGACUAAGGAUUUGGUCAGAUUCCUCAAAUUACAGCAGUUACGUGAGGGAGGGCUGGACAAAAUCAAGGUAGUAGUAGGAAAGAAGAAGGGAGAAAUGGAUGCUGAGUAGGUGACCAACAGUGACCACCACAUAGAUCAUUUGUUAGCCAGGCAAAGAGAGAAGGGCAGAGCAGGACAGAAUGAAGAUAUGUGUGGAGUCUCUGAGUAAGAAUGAGCUCGGAGGUGGGUAUGUUCAAAGAAAGGGAAGAAGGGCAAUAAGAUAAAGGAAGAGGAAGGAUGACAGAAGACAAGAGUCAGAUCACAUAGGGCCUUAUUGCAAAGGCAUUCGUAUGUUCAGUUUGCCCAGUACUAUCCUAGUUUAACCAGGCUGUCCUGGAAAAAUUGUAAUAGUUCCCUCUUUCACUUUCAGAAAUGUCCUGGUUUGAAUGAUAAAUUCAGUGGCUAUCCUAUGAGUGCAUACAGCCCAUGUUAAGGAAUUUGGAUUUUAUUCUAAAUAAAUGGGAAGCAGUUUUUUCCUAAUUUUGUCUUAGUACACACAUCAGGCUUUUACAGUCGUCUCGAACUUUAUCUUCUAGCUACUUCCUUGUUUCUUUUGCUAGGCCAAGUUAGAAAGUUCUUUCUGAAUUGGUUCCCAAGGUUAUCCAGCAUCCGAAGUACAGAUAAAUGCCCAUUUCUGCCUCUUCUGAGCCACCUACAGGAUUGCUUCUGACGUUUCCUACAAGAUUGCUUCUCUCUCCCUGGAUUUCUCAUCCAGCAAUACAGUUAUGGUAUAAGCAAUCUUGCUGUGUUGUUAUGAACUAUAUGCAUUUUAUAUAUUAUCUCUGUGUAAUUUUACUUAUGGCACUUUCAAAUCUUUUCUAACAUUGUCUUGACUGAUUGUGUAGCCACCCAGCCUGCUGAAAAGUAAUCUGCUGUCUGCUUUGUGACUUUAGGCAAGCUACUGAGCCUUUCCUAGACCUGUUUUCUUAUCUGUAAAAUGAAGCUGUUAAUAGUAUAACCUCGUAUGAUUAUUAUGAGUAAUAAAUGAGACACUUCAAGUAAAGCACUUAGAAUAGAGCUUUACAUUCUGAAUGUAUUCUAUAUAUUAUCUGUACACGUACUUUAGAAUAUAUAGAAACAUGUGUUGUUGUUGGUU